AUACGUAGGGUGCGAGCGUUAUCCGGAAUCAUUGGGCGUAAAGAGCUCGUAGGCGGUUCAGCAAGUCGGCUGUGAAAGUUCGAGGCCCAACCUCGAAAUUGCAGUCGAUACUGCUGUGACUCGAGUCCGGUAGAGGAGAAUGGAAUUCUCGGUGUAGCGGUGAAAUGCGCAGAUAUCGAGAGGAACACCAGUAGCGAAGGCGGUUCUCUGGGCCGGCACUGACGCUGAGGAGCGAAAGCGUGGGGAGCAAACAGGAUUAGAUACCCCAGUAGUCC
rnacentral:rRNA from 1 species